rnacentral:rRNA from 1 species
ACGGCCGCGGUACUCUGACCGUGCAAAGGUAGCAUAAUCAUUUGCCCUAUAAUUGAGGGCUAGUAUGAAGGGUUUGACAAGGGCACCCCUGUCUCUGUAGAAAUAAUCGGAAUUUAUCUUAUAGGUGAAGAUACCUAGAUACAAUUAAAAGACAAGAAGACCCUAUCGAGCUUAAAAAUCAAUUGUGAUCUAAAGAAAAUACUAUCAUAUUUCUCUUCACAAAUAAUUUUUUAGUUGGGGCGACCAAGGAACAAAUAAAACUUCCUCUUACCUAAAACUACUAUCUAGAUCCAUACCAAUUAUGAUCAAAAGACUUAGUUACCGUAGGGAUAACACCAUAAUCUUUUUUGAGAGUCCUUAUCGAAAAAAAGGUUUGUGACCUCGAUGUUGGACUAGAAUAUCCUGAUAGGUGCAGAAGCUUCAAG